UCUACAUGAAUUAUGUGAUAUGUAGUCUGGCCUGCUCACUGAGUUUAAACUUGAAGAGCCGCGGUAUCUUGACCGUGCAAAGGUAGCAUAAUCAUUAGCUUUUUAAUUGUGAGCUUGUAUGAAUGGUUAAACAAAAGAAAUGCUGUCUCUUUUUUAAAAUUUGAAUUUAACUUUUGAGUGAAAAGGCUUAAAUAUAUUAAGGGGACGAUAAGACCCUAUAAAGCUUUAUAAGUAAUUAUAAGCAUUUCUGAGUUAAAAAUAAAAGAAGUAUUUAUAUUGCUUAUUAUGUUGGGGCGACACAGAUAAAAUUAGUAACUGUCAGGAAAAAAAACAUACAUUUAUGAGAACGUAUGAUCCUUCAUAAAGAUUAAAAGACAAAGUUACUUUAGGGAUAACAGCGUUAUUCUUUUUGAGAGUCCUUAUCGAAAAAAGAGUUUGCGACCUCGAUGUUGAAUCAUAAAAUCUUUAUAGUGCAGGAGCUAUAAAAAGAGGGUCUGUUCGACCUUUAAAAUUUUACG
rnacentral:rRNA from 1 species